GACGAACGCUGGCGGCGUGCUUAACACAUGCAAGUCGAACGCUGAAGCUCAGCUUUUGUUGGGUGGAUGAGUGGCGAACGGGUGAGUAACACGUGAGUAACCUGCCUCCUUCUUUGGGAUAACGCCCGGAAACGGGUGCUAAUACUGGAUAUUCACUGGUCUUCGCAUGGGGGUUGGUGGAAAGGGUUUUUCUGGUGGGGGAUGGGCUCGCGGCCUAUCAGCUUGUUGGUGGGGUGAUGGCCUACCAAGGCUUUGACGGGUAGCCGGCCUGAGAGGGGGACCGGUCACAUUGGGACUGAGAUACGGCCCAGACUCCUACGGGAGGCAGCAGUGGGGAGUAUUGCACAAUGGGCGCAAGCCUGAUGCAGCGACGCCGCGUGAGGGAUGGAGGCCUUCGGGUUGUGAACCUCUUUCGCUCAUGGUCAAGCCGCAACAAUGGUUGUGGUGAGGGUAGUGGGUAAAGAAGCGCCGGCUAACUACGUG
rnacentral:rRNA from 1 species